GGCCCCUUGGUGUAACCGGUUAACACGUCGCCCUUUCAAGGCGAAGAGUACGGGUUCGAGUCCCGUAGGGGUCACCA
rnacentral:tRNA from 1 species